rnacentral:snRNA from 1 species
GUUGGCUUCGGCGGUACAUAUACUAAAAUUGGAACGAUACAGAGAAGAUUAGCAUGGCCCCUGCGAAAACAAUUUGGAAUUGUAAUUAUCGUUA